rnacentral:lncRNA from 1 species
CACAUUAUCUAAACCUGAAUAAUCUUUAGUAAGAGUUAUGAGGCACUUGUAUAUACUUAAAACAAUAAGUAGAAACAGUCCAUAAUUAUCGAUACAAGUCAAUUCUUAAGUUAGUUCCUAAACUUCUCUACAUCUGCUAAUCACAACCAUAUAUUACUAGCAACAUUUCUCUAGAUGCAUUCAACUUGUUGCCAAAUUCAAAAUAUCCAUACUUCUUGUGCCACAACAUGACAUACUUCUCAUCUAUUUUACCAAGAUUAGAAACAACAGCCACAUCAUUUACAGUAUGCACAACUGAAGAAGAUUGCUAGUAUUCACAAAUAUGUUCGCUUGAUUUAGUUUUCGAUUGCUUGCCAAUUAUUG